rnacentral:rRNA from 1 species
GAUGAACGCUAGCGACAGGCUUAACACAUGCAAGUCGAGGGGCAGCACAGGUAGCAAUACCGGGUGGCGACCGGCGCACGGGUGAGUAACGCGUAUGCAACUUACCUAUCAGAGGGGGAUAACCCGGCGAAAGUCGGACUAAUACCGCAUGAAGCAGGGGCCCCGCAUGGGGAUAUUUGCUAAAGAUUCAUCGCUGAUAGAUAGGCAUGCGUUCCAUUAGGCAGUUGGCGGGGUAACGGCCCACCAAACCGACGAUAGAUAGGGGUUCUGAGAGGAAGGUCCCCCACAUUGGUACUGAGACACGGACCAAACUCCUACGGGAGGCAGCAGUGAGGAAUAUUGGUCAAUGGGCGUAAGCCUGAACCAGCCAAGUCGCGUGAGGGAUGAAGGUUCUAUGGAUCGUAAACCUCUUUUAUAAGGGAAUAAAGUGUGGG